rnacentral:lncRNA from 1 species
AACCCGCUGCCGGAGCCGGCAGGGGGAAGUGACGUCUGUCUCUCCCUUUUUUCCCUCCCGCCCCGGCAUCUGUUCUCGCCCGAAGAAGCUGGUCCUUAGCCUGCGCUGCGGAGCAACCUUUCAGUGGCCAGCUGGAGCCUGGGCACCGUUCUUCAAAUAAUGGCUUUUAAUUCUCAGACGAGAACGUUUAGGAUUACAAAAGAAACCGGUUCUCUUCACAUCCUUAUCCUUGUCAUGUAGCAUUCCGCUUGAAAUUGGAAGCCGUUCAAUGUCAGAGAGAAACCAUAUUUAUGAAAUGAAAGAGGCUUCUCAGAUGACUGCAAACCAGCCUUCCUUACUGGUUUUAUCACUGGUAAUGUUAUAAAGACAGUUGUCCAGUUUCAUGAAUCUUGUAGGUUUUUGUUUGUUUAUUUGUUUGCUUUUGAUGUUGUUGUUGUUGCUGUUGUUUUCCAACUUCAGUAUUGUAGAAAAAUAUGCUGCCCCAGAAGAGAUGAUUGGACACUCUCCAGCGUGGUGUUGGACUUUGUCAUCUCUUGCACAGCCAUCUCCAGACCUUAGUGUUUACCUCACGUUAGUUUUUUAUAUUCUGCAAAGACAAAACCAAAAUAAUCCAAAUUUGACACAAAUACCUGGGAUACAUCUUAUUUGAGAUGUUUAACAAAUGUCUGGAUCAUCUUUUCUUACAUUGGAUUAUAACGCAGGAAACACUGUGAAGUAAGUAAAGUUGGAAUUCCCAAGUCAAAGACCAUUUGAAUAUUUACAAGUAGAUUUGAGGCAGGAAUAAUACAGGGUGGCCGCAGGGUAACAAAUUCUAGGCAGCAGAUUUACAUGACUUGAGGCUAUGGGCUGAUAAGACGCUGAAAAACCAGG